UGAGUGUUUCUUCCUAUAGUUUACAUGAGAAUAAAAUAAUCCAUGACAAAAAACCUGAGAACAAUAGGGUUUUAGCUCACUGAAAUUGUAGAUUACACAUGCAUGUAUUAUCUCUUAUGCACCAACAAAAUAGCAUAUUAAUAUAUAUGAGCAUGUACAAAUUGAUUAUUCAGGUGUUGAGUAGGAAGCAUACACCCAAUAAGGAUUGAUAACUUGAUCGAGGAAGAAACUUCAUUUCCUUAAUAGCAUUUGGCAGAUCAAGCUAUAGAAUAAAAUAAUAAAGUACCACCAGGCUGAUCUCUAAUUUUCACUCAGCUAACACAAACGCAUUUUACACUGUCGGACGAAUUGGUGAUGCGUUGUACAAGUCGUACUUCGGCUCGAACCUUCUCGGGACAGGUCAGAGGCAUCUAAGAAAUAAGAGAAAAUUAGGAAAAAAAUAAGAUGGUGAUUUGGUUAAUUUGAAGGAACUGUAAUUUGCAGGGAAGGGCAACAACUUUGCAACUCGGUGCUCACCCUCACUAUCAGCCGUCAGGUAGAAACAAUUUGUGCGCGCGCCGGGGGUCCUCUUAUUCCCAAUUCAUCUGCUCCCUGUGCCACAUCCGCCGCAUCCACAAGCUAUAGAUCUUUGGAGGAGCAGACCACUACUGCUUCUAUGCUGAAGGUAUUACAACAGGUAAAACAGCAUCCUGAACCAGAUUUUAUAAAGAAAAGUAACCUGCAACAGAAGUAGGUAUUUACUCUAUGCAAAAAAAAUACUAUGGUACAAUACAUGAUAAUGCCUAGUCGAACUGAUGCAUCUGUUAGCUACAAAUGGUAGUAGGAUAGUACUAAAAGGACUAACUAUUCAAUUCUAGUCUCUAGAGAACAAAAUCACAUUGCUCCUAUUUUCUUAAAAUGAUAAACCAGUACUAAAGAGCUGAUAUUCCAAAUCUGAGUGCUCACCAAUUAAAUGAGAAUCCUAAGCAGAAAAAUGGGAGUGCAGGGAGGUCGCCAUUUAAGUGAAAUAGGUAAAAUCAGCCUUAACAAUGAUGAAAAGAAAUUAUGUCUGGAAAGGGUAUUUUCAGGAGUUAAUUGAUCAUUAUAUGGGUGCAGACCAAACAAAUAUACUAUAUUCAGCAAAGACAAAUUAUAUAGAGAAACAUGGUUAAUUGAUCAUUAUAUGGGUGCAAAUUAUAUAGUAUAUAAAUCAAUCAUAUUGCCAUUGCUAACUCAAUAGAGAAAUGAAGUAAAUAUAGUAUAUUCAGCAAAGACAAACUAUAUGGGUGCAGUCCAAAAAAAAUGUAUGCGUUAGUCUACUCAUUGAUGAUUAAACAACUAAUAUACUCUAAAGGACAAUUUUUGUCAUCACUUCCAAUGAAGAAACACUCCUGAUACUCAUCUGGCUGGCCGGACUCGGUAUCUCAGUGGUUCUUACCAUCAUUCUUCCUUUCUUUCUUCUCUACCUGUAGUUUUCCUUCACAGCUGCACCCGGGCACAAAAUGAGCAUAGAGACACAGAAUGGAAAAUAGUUUUCUGUAAUGUGUGACGACCUAUUAUUAAAACCGCAACCAAGUUAACAAUUAUACACACACCACACCAAUAACAUCAAAUAAAAAGGUCGGCCUGAGCAUAUAGUUCAAAAUGAUUACUGAUAUUUAGAUACAAAUGGUUGAAAAAAAAUAUGCAUGGAGAAGGUUACCUUAAAUUUACGUCGGCAAAAAAUUCAAGCUCUCCUGCUUUGGGCACUCAAUGCUUGCUUUAUUGCAAAAGAAUUCUUUCUUUCUUGCAUCAAUCUGUGUUGAAGUGAAACACUCGCUAAAGUAGCAGCCUAGUCUAGUCAUAAAGAUAAGGAACUACUUUAAAAUGAAUCAGAUUGUGCACAUUCAAUAACAAGAAUGACUAUCUUCAUUAACAGUCAUAUUCAACAUACCCUUAAGUUGACUAAAAUAGACUUGUUGUAAUUUACAGAAAAGAAAAUACAUGAGAUAAGUCACCUGCCUCAUCUAUCAUUUAGGAGAGGGUUAGUAUAUGAAGAAAGAUGCAACUACAUGAUAGAAAAUUACAUCUUUGAAAUUCUGUAGAGGUAGACAAAUGAAAAUAGACCAACAGAACACAUACGACCUGAUUAACAUAAUCAGGGAGAACACAAAAGUACACUUAAGAGGCCUCGCUUCAGCAACGGCAAGCAACAAGCACGUAUGUCCAUCACAUGUAAAGGGGAGACGGAAACUACCUUAUUUGAGGACUAAAUUAUCAGACUGGUGUAGCUGCGAUACAUGCCACAACUAAACAAAUCAACAUGAAUUUUGUCUGUGCAGAUCUCAUAGGGCAGUAAUCAACUGGAGCAAAACCAAGAACAAAAGGAAACAAGGAGAGGGUUCCUACAGAUUAUGCCAUAUACAAAUAUACAUCAUUGCAGUGCUUGCCUCAAAGCUCCUUCAUUGGGAAAUCAAUGGC
rnacentral:lncRNA from 1 species